rnacentral:rRNA from 1 species
AUUGAAUGCUGGCGGCGUGCCUAAUACAUGCAAGUCGAACGAGUGGCGGACGGGUGAGUAAUGUAUAGGUAUCUGCCUGAUGGCGGGGGGUAACUACUGGCAACGGUAGCUAAUACCGCAUACCAUCAGAUGAACCAAUAGGGGAUUAGAUUGUAGGUGAGGUACAGGCUCACCUAGGCGACGAUCCCUAGCUGGUCUGAGAGGAUGAUCAGCCACACGGGGACUGAGACACGGCCCAGACGCCUACGGGAGGCAGCAGUGGGGAAUAUUGCACAAUGGUCGCAAGCCUGAUGCAGCCAUGCCGCGUGUAUGAAUAAGGCCUUCGGGUUGUAAAGUACUUUCAGUCGGGAUGCGUUACCGACAGAAGAAGCACCGGCUAACUCCGUGCCAGCCGCCGCGGUAAUUC